UCAUUCAGGUACCAAGAUUACAGACAACCCCCAACAGCAAGCAACAAAUAUGAAUAUAAGUCGAUUUAUUGGCACCUCAUUACGGCUCGCUUGGCUUUCGUUGUUAUUUUUGAGAACGUUGUUGUUAUGAUCAUAACCUUAAUUCGUUGGUUGAUCCCUGACAUUCCAAAGUCUCUGAAACUUCAAAUCAGACAUGAAAAUUACGUCAUCAGCGAUAUGAUUAUUGAACAUGAACUAAGAAGAGCAAAGGAUCUUGGCAUUGUUGGAAGUAGAGAAUCGGCACGGCUUCGUAACAUUGUUUCACAGAUUAGUGAUAUUUCAAAACGCAAUCAACAGAACCACAGCACAUCCAGUGAAUUGGUAUAAAAGCUAGUUUGUUGUAUUUGACUUUCAAUCUUUCAUCCCAACAGCUUGAUAUCGUGGGUAUUUUGAAAUAUAUAUGUAUGCAUUGAUGCUGUUUUACAAGUUUUCAAAUUUGAGCAAACUUUUUCAAAGUUACAUCUCACUAAAUAUAGUUGUAUCAAAAAAAACUUGUAAAUGUACUUUACCCACACUUCAACAGGGUCCUUUAAAAUUAUUCUAGUCUAUAUAAACUUAAAGCUUUUGAAUAUUUCCCAGAUAGUAGUUUAUUUCUUGUUAAAGAUUUACUAUCUGAUAUCUCGGACCAAAAGUACUAAAUGUUAAUUAUCAAUAA